rnacentral:misc_RNA from 1 species
AACGCACAUUGCGCCCCUGGGUAUUCCUGGGGGCAUGCCUGUUCGAGCGUCAUUUCAACCCUCAAGCUCAGCUUGGUCUUGGGCCAUGCCGGAAACGGCCGGCCUUAAAACUAGUGGCGGUGCCGCCGGGCUCUACGCGUAGUAACUAUAUCUCGCGUCUGGGUCCCGGUGGACGCUGGCCAGCAACCCUCCAUUUUUUCUGGUUGACCUCGGAUCAGGUAGGGAUACCCGCUGAACUUAA